CUACGGGUUGCAGCAGUGAGGAAUAUUGCGCAAUGGGGGGAACCCUGAUGCAGCAACGCCGCGUGGAGGAUGACGCAUUUCGGUGUGUAAACUCCUUUUAUAUGUCAAGAAAAUGACGGUAGCAUAUGAAUAAGCACCGGCUAACUCCGUGCCAGCAGCCGCGGUAAUACGGAGGGUGCAGGCGUUACUCGGAAUCACUGGGCGUAAAGGACGCGUAGGCGGGUUGGAAAGUCAGGUGUGAAAUCCUACAGCUUAACUGUAGAACUGCACUUGGAACUUCUAAUCUAGAGUAUGGGAGGGGGAGAUGGAAUUAGUGGUGUAGGGGUAAAAUCCGUAGAUAUCACUAGGAAUGCCUAAAGCGAAGGCGAUCUCCUGGAACAUUACUGACGCUAAGGCGUGAAAGCGUGGGGAGCGAACAGGAUUAGAUACCCCGGUAGUC
rnacentral:rRNA from 1 species